AGAGUUUGAUCCUGGCUCAGAACGAACGCUGGCGGCGUGCUUAACACAUGCAAGUCGAACGCGAAAAGGGGCAACCCUCGGUAGCGUGGCAGACGGGUGAGUAACACGUGGGUAACCUACCCGGAGGUGGGGGAUAACCCUUCGAAAGGAGGGCUAAUACCGCAUAACAUCGCGAGGACCUCGGUCCUUGCAAUCAAAGCUGGCCUCUGCUUACAAGCUAGCGCCACCGGAGGGGCCCGCGCCCCAUUAGCUAGUUGGUGAGGUAACGGCUCACCAAGGCGACGAUGGGUAGCCGGCCUGAGAGGGCGACCGGCCACACUGGAACUGCGACACGGUCCAGACUCCUACGGGAGGCAGCAGUGAGGAAUCUUGCGCAAUGGGCGAAAGCCUGACGCAGCGACGCCGCGUGAAGGAUGAAGGUCUUCGGAUUGUAAACUUCUGUCGAGCGGGACGAAUGCCAUGAGGACGAACAAUCCUCGUGGUUGACGGUACCGCUGAGAGCCC
rnacentral:rRNA from 1 species